AGAUAACAUGGGCCUGGUGUUGCCCAAAGCUCCCGGCGCAGGAACUUCAAAUGCCGGGCAUGUAAGCGCAGGGCCACAGCCGAGGUGAACUUGGACGCUGCGGGGAGAAAAGCAAAACCCAACCGUACGCCGCUGGAAAUAACUGGAUUAAAGGCACGCACGCAGAACAGGAAAGCUGCCUGCUGUAGGUUUGGGGCUUGUAAAACCCCAGAUUUAUGGUGCUUCCACGGCCUGGAGCUUUCUUCCUACAUUAAUGAAGUUCUAAGAGGCUGAAAUAGAACCUGACUCUUAGUGUAAAAACGACAACAACACAG